rnacentral:tRNA from 1 species
GGGGAUGUAACUCAACUGGAUAGAGUGCCAGGCUUCGAACCUGGAAGUUGUGGGUUCAAGUCCUACCAUCCUCG